rnacentral:lncRNA from 1 species
AAAAACCAAUUUGACCCAUUUUUCUUUGAAAUGAUGGGGCGGCUAAGCUGUUUAUUUUGAUAACAAAGUAAGAGUUGCUUUUAUUUGAAAUGUUAAAUUGUUUUGGUAGACUUAUUUGUAAUCAAAAUAGCAUAUCCGCCUAUUUUUCUGAACUUCAAAACUCUCAGCAUCUCACAGACAGGCAGAGUAUAGUUUCUGUGUAAAAGAUGGUGUCGAACUGUGAGAUUGAGAGUAUGGGCAGUAAUAAUCAAGAACGGCGCCGUGUGGGGCUGAUAUACGAUGAGAGAAUGUGCAAACAUUCGACCCCGGAUGAUGAGGACCAUCCCGAAAACCCCAAUCGCAUAAAAGUAAUCUGGGAUAAGCUCAAUGCAUCUGGAAUUGCUCAAAGGUUCUUUAAAACUCACGCGUUUGUGUUUUCCAUUUAGCCUUUUUAUUUUUUUAAACUGUAGUUGACUAUUAACGUAGAAUUCAGUGAUAAGAAGGUAAAUUAUGCAAUUGGAUUUUCAACUUCUACUUCGAGAGAAUGAAAUAAAUUUAUGUUAUUUAGAUUUUAGAGCAUGUUUUUCGUUGCUUCAAUCUACAAAAGAAGAGGCUGUUUUACCACUAUUGGCUAAAAAAAUUAUCUUCUACAGGCAGCAAGACCCUUCUUACUGCGGAAAGAAGCAAGUUUUUGGCUAUUUUCUUAGUGUUUCAACUGAGCCUCUCUCAUUUCCUUCUUGAAAAAGAAUAAUUGGUUGCUGAUAUAUGUUCUGCUUCUCUCCCCUUUCUUCUUCCCUUUUUCUUUUUUUUUUUCUUUUUAUUUUUUUUUAUUUGUGGGGGUAUGCUGCUGGGUUGUGGUGGUGGUGGUGGUGGUGUGAGAUUAUGCUGCUGGGUCAAUAAAAUUGAACCCUGUUGUUGUUUCUUUUUUAUACUUUUAAAUUUUUGUUCACAAUCCAAAUUUCAAAUAUUUCUUGAAAAGGGGGUUUAGAAGGACAAUGUUAUACUUUGUAGUUUAGAAUAAUUUAACUAUCUUUUUCCUUUAAUGUCUACUUUUUAUGUAUUUCUCCUUUUGUAUUGUAUAAAGUUGUGAGUAAUAUUUGGUUUGAAAUACUCUUCAAAUACUGUACUGUAAUUGUAUACUGGUCUCAUCAUUUGCCAAGAGGUUUGCUUUUGACCUAGCCGCGUUUUUGCUUUUCCAGAUGUGUUGUUUUGGAUGCUAAGGAAGCAGAAGAUAAGUAUUUAGCUUUGGUCCACAGCAAAAAUCACAUCGAUUUGAUUAAGAAUAUUAGUUCCAAAAAGUUUGAUUCGCGGAGAAAUAAGACGGCAUCAAAAUUUAACUCUAUUUAUUUCAAUGGAGGCUCAUCAGAAGCUGCUCAUCUUGCUGCAGGUUCAGUUACAGAGGUAAUUAGAAAUAAACAUUAGACCUACUGUGGUCAUUUUGUUCAAAUGUGUGUGGCUAUAGGAAAUCAUCCAUUUUAGCCAAUCAGUGAAAACUAUCAACUUACAUCUAAUGUAGAUUCAAUUGUGUCAUUUGAAUGCCUUCUUGUAUUCAUAUUUGGCUGUCCAGUUAGCAGUUUGGCUCUUGCUAUGUGUUGCUGUGUUCCCAUUGUCAACUUCUACAUACCAAAGUGGUGCAAUUGCUUUAGUUUUGAAAAAUUUAACUGUUGAAACCUUGUAACAUAGGUUGCUGAGCAAGUUGCGAAAGGAAAAUUGGAUUCUGGUUUUGCUAUUGUCAGACCUCCAGGACAUCAUGCCGAAGAAAGUGAACCAAUGGGAUUUUGCCUGUACAACAAUGUUGCUAUUGCAACAAGUUUUCUCUUAAAUGAAAGAGUGAGAGUUAAUUUGAGUUAUUGGGAUCUAAUUUUAUUCGCCUUUUUCAUCAGUUAGUAUAUGAAAAUUCCCUGUUUUUGCACAUUCCUAUCAUUCAGCUUUAAUGUGUACCACUCUUCACACUGUAGCCAGAGUUGGGUAUCAAGAAAAUCUUGAUUGUUGAUUGGGAUGUACAUCAUGGAAAUGGUACUCAAAAAAUGUUCUGGAAGGAUCCUCGAGUGCUUUUCUUCUCUGUGCAUCGGUACGUGAACACUUUUAUAUUUCACUUCAUCAGUGUUUUUUUUUUUUUUUUUUUCCAGUUCAACAAUAGCAACUCGUUCUGAACCUUCCUCGACAAAAGUUGAAUUUGUUUGUUUCUUUUAUUAGCUAAUCAUUUUGUUUAACUUUAGUAUGUUUUCUGCUUGUUGAAAGGAAUAUAGGCAUUUAGGGAUGGUUGCUUGCCUCAAGUUGAUAAAGUAUUUAUUUAGUCUCCUGCAUUUUUUCUUCAAUAAUGAAACUUAGUGAGUAAUCGGGUUAUAUAAACUCUUCAAUCCAAGUUCUGCUAGCAUUGGCAUAUAAUAAAUAACUUGAAGAUUAUUUUGGUCAUAUUGAGAGAAAGAAAUUGUUUGUUUCAACUAGGCACGAAUUUGGGAGUUUCUAUCCAGGUGGUGAUGAUGGGUCAUAUACCAUGAUUGGAGAGGGUCCUGGCACGGGAUACAAUAUUAAUGUUCCUUGGGAGAACGGUAGGUGUGGUGAUGCGGACUAUCUUGCAGUUUGGGACCAUGUUUUGAUUCCUGUUGCUAAGGAAUUUGAUCCCGACAUGAUUAUUAUCUCUGCGGGGUUUGAUGCAGGUUAGCUAAACUUCUCUUAACUGAUUAUGUCUGGAUAUUGUAGUCUACUAUGUACACAUGCAUCUCAUAAACUAACAGCAAUUUUAUAGAAUUUUAGGCAUGCAAGUGAGAUAGAAAGAGUAAAUAUUUGCACGCAAUUUUUAUUUUUAUUUAUUUAUUUAUUAUUAUUAUUAUUAUUUUGUGGCUAAACUUGAAUUAUCCUUUGACAACCUUACUAAUUGGAAGGGGCUUAGUGAAAUGAAAUCAUGUGUUUGAGAAUCAACUAGUAGGUAGCAAGUGCAUGUACUCCUACUUUAAUGACUCCCUAGUGGCGAGGAAGUUUAGAUUCCCCAUUGGAUGGUCCUCCAAUUGCGUGUUCCGACUAAUUGUAUCUUUCUUGUGCAUAGGAUGUCUUAUUCUGUGUCUUCCUUUUUCCAGGUUAGAUGUAGACCUAAUUACUUUUAUCUUUAUGUUACUAAUUGCUAUUUUUCUCCUUGUGUUUUUGAUUCUUUAGGAUAUCAUGCUUAUCUGCAUCUUAUGCCUUUUCUUCAUUGGAUACUAAAGCUUUUAGCUGCGUUGCUAUCAAGCUAAAUGAUAAUUUCAAGACCACGGCAGUUGUUUGAAAAGAGUAGAAAGUGAACGUCCCCCAACAUCGAAGGAUAAUGCCUAUGAAAAGUUAUUUGAUAAUCAAACUCUACCGAAUAGCUUGACUAUGUAGAAGUAAUAAGCCUUUUUGUUGAAUUAAUCCUUUACAUGGACUCUUUUGGUGAAACAAAGUAAAAUGACAGGAGAAGUUUUUGGACCAAACAUGGGUGCAGUGACAGCAGAUGAGGAGUGUGUGCUAAUAUUCAAGCUACACUAUCUAUAAAAUCCUGCUUACAUAAUAUUCACACUAAAUUCUGGAAUUUUGAAUCUCACUAGGUUAACUUACAUGAUAAUUGCUUGAAUUCUCACCAUAGUUCCGGAGUAUUCUAAUACAUUUCUUUGUUCAAGAUGUUCAUUUGCAAUUGAAGGGUUUUCUUCUUUCAGCUCUAAUAUCCAUUGAAACUAAUGGCGCUUUGAAUGAAGGCUGAUUGAUGACUUUUAAUGCUUAUGAUUGAUUUAAAUAGCCAUUGGCGAUCCUCUUGGGGGCUGUCGUGUUAGUCCAUAUGGGUACUCUAUCAUGCUGAACAAGGUAAGCACUAGAAUUUUUUUUUUUUUUUUGAAAACAAAUUCAUUUUCCCCUUUUUUAGCUAAUUUUCAACUUAUUUCUAUAUCUUUCAUUCCAAGAUCCAAUUUCAUACUUAACUCUAGUUUGCUGGAAUGCAAAUCCAUAAAUUUUCUGAAGUCAGAUUUCAAAGAAUAUUUAUUUUCUUUCUUUGAUGCUUUACCUAGUUGAUGGGGUUUGCCUCCGGUAAGAUUGUUAUGGCACUUGAAGGAGGAUAUAAUCUUGAUUCAUUAGCAAAUUCAGCCCUAGCUUGUGUUCAAGUGUUGCUACAACAUAAACCAGUUGCUGGGUCUUCAGAGGCUUAUCCGUUUGAAUCAACGUGGCAUGUGAUACAAGCGGUUAGUGCUACUAACCUUUAAUUUUAUGCAGUUAUAAAACUAAUUUGGUUUUUCAUUCGGUUCAAGAUUACAAUGUAAUAUCAAUUUAUGGUUGCUUAUGAAUGAAAUGUGAUAAAUCUGAUCAGGUACGUAAACUUUUGAGCUUGUAUUGGCCGACACUUCGAGAUAAAAUACCAGAAAAAGUUAUCAGGAGAACACCUCAAAUUGAAGUAAGACUGUCCCUUCCUUUGAAAUUAGCAUCUUCCACUGCUCUUUUGAUUCAAGUUGCUUCUCCUGCACAAUAAGAGGAGUUUUUUCUUGCUAAACAUGAUGAGAGUUUCUGGGUGUCUGUCACCAAGAGAUCUAAUAUAAUCAAUAAGAUGAAACAAACCUACUUUUUUGUUUUAUUUAUAUACUUUAAGCCUGAAAACUCCUUAACAUGUUAUGCAGAUCUUGCACGCCUGUUUUUUCUUCCUGUUGCAUUUAUCUGUUGCAUGUUUGGUCUUUUCCCAUUCAACUUAAUAGGCUCCUUAAAUUCUAUACUCUAUUAGCACUCUCAUAAUGUUAUUCUUUUAUUAUAGAUCUUGAGCUCUGAUUCUGAGGGAGAGCAUGAUAAAGGUCUAGUUGUUGAGAAAGAUCUCGACACGGCUGCAGAGGAUGUUACAGAAACUCUUAAAAACUUGCAAGUAAAUGAAAAAUGUCAAGGUAACUGAUCAUUAUUCUCUUUCUAUUUUGUUCAGAAAAGGUUUUUUACAAGUUGUAAAAUAUUGUUUCCAUCAUUGUUGACUGCGGCAGGUCAAGCUACUGCAGUUUCUCCUUCUUGGAGGUCUGAGCUCUCUAAGAUUGACAUCUGGUAUGCAACUUUUGGAUCCAAUAUGAACAAAUCAAGGUUUGACUGCUAUAUUGAAGGUGGACAGGUAAAAUAGCUCUAAAUAGCCUUGAUGUCUCUUUCAUGGACUUUUGAGAUGUCUUGUACAAAUUUAAAGCCCUUGAAACCUUCUAGUUUUGAUUCAGUAUCACGUGUAGUGUAGCUCAUGAAAUUCGACAUCCUCUUAUUUUUUAAGCCAGGUUGGAGUGACUGUUUAAAUGCUGAUACUGAGCUUUUUAAUUUACCAUCAUGUUUUGUUUGCCUUGGACUUAGCCUGACUGUUAAGUUGUUCAUACUACAUUAGACUGAAUGAUUUUUAUCCAGUAACAAACUCAAUGUAAGCUACUCAACUGUAGUAACUCCUCCAUUAUCCAAACCACUUCCCUCCAGCAUGAGAUUUGGGACUGCCUGGAGUCAAGUUUCGAAGACAAUUCAAGCAACCCUUGGUUUGCAGUACCGAAUUUUGAGGCAUUCAUUCAGUUUGAAUAUGCCAUUUACUCCUUUCUUCACUGGCUUGAAAUUUAAAGGAAAACCUAAUAUGUGUCUCUUAAAUUUUACAUUCUCCAGCUUAUGGAAACAUCUUUACAUUAUUCUUUAUUUAUAAAUUCAUAGAGUUGUUAAAUUAGACUGUUUACACUUUCUUUAAUCUCUUUAUCCUUCCUUAUCUGCAUAUUGUGAAAUGACUUCUAGACUGAAGGAAUGCAAAGACUAUGUGUUGGUUCAAUGGAUAAAAGCCAGCCCAAGGAGAUUAUGUGGAAGACAUUCCCCCAUCGAUUAUUCUUUGCUCGUGACGAUACGGCUACAUGGGGUCCUGGAGGUGUUGCUUUUCUGCAUCCUGAAAGUGAUAUUCAAGAGAAAACUUACUUGCGUCUGUACAAAAUUACGUAUGCAAUCUCUUCCUCUUUCUAUCUUAAAAGUUCAUUUUCUGGUUCAUUUGAUUGGUUUUCAGCUAAGAAGCUAAAUGAAUUAAAGAGCAUCCUAAGCUAUUCAACAUUUCAUUGUAUAAUUGAAAUGCUGAUAUGGUCCUCAUCUAUCUUUUGUCAAACUGCACCGCUUAAAUUAAUAUGAAAAGGCAUAUUUAGUUUCAGGCCUAAAAUGGUGCACCUCAUAAUCUUACAGGGAAUUUAUGCUAAUCCCUGUAGUUGUUGAUUUCAAAUUUUCUUCUUUGUUUAUCUAUUUAUUGUUUAUUGUAUUAUUACAGGCUAGAGCAAUUUAAUGACGUGUUGCUUCAAGAGAAUGUUUUGAGUGGUGAAAUGACUUGUUCAUUAUUUGAUUUGACAUUUUUACAAACUAUUGAAACAGAAAAGUGCAUCUCAGUGGAGUUAGUCCAGGUAUGUGGUGAAGCCUUGUAUGCCAUUUUUUACAUCCAUACUAAAAUCUUACUUGCUGUUGGUUUUAUAGGACAGCGUCCUUUUGUGAUAAUCAUAAUUCAGUUUUCAGGACAAAAAAGUUGACGGAUAGAUAAUAUUUGAUAGAGGCUCAUACUUGUUAAAUUUGGUUUCAACCCUUUUUCUCUGGAUGAAUCAGUAUCUUAUCAGGUAAGUUGAUGGAUGAAAUAAGUGUACAAGAAUUAAAAUGCUGUCCUGAACAACAAAACAAAUCUGCUAGUCGAGACAGAGAGUGGACUGAGAAUUUCAAAUUGGAGGAAGAAAGGCAAAAAGCAUCUAAUCCUCUGUAAACGAUUCUCUGAACCAUCAAAAGUCCAUUCAAUUCUUCUCCUUCUGUAGCAGUCACCGAACACAUAACCGACGAGAGUAUUUUGUACAUUCUUAGUAAUGAUAUACAAGCUUAUUUCUAUACAAUAUCUUCCUAAAAUAUAGGAACUGACCACUUCUAGAAAUAGGCAUCAAAUAAGUAGGAGAUAAUUUCGAUUCCUCCUACUCUCUUCACUAAAUCUACCUAAAUCUGUCCGCAUUCCUCUCAAAUUGGCUCAAAAUAUCUUGCAUCCUGAUCUUGCUCAUAAUAGUAUCAAGCUGUGCUUUUCAUGGUCCCUUGGUAAGAACUUCUGCCAAUUGUGUUGGCAGUUCCAUGGGUGGUGGUGGAGGGAGGGGGAGGGGGCUCCUUUUUCUCAUUUUCAUUUUCCCUUUUCUUGUAACUGUUUUUUUGGUAAUAAACUUGAGCAUAUCAAAAUACCCUCACAAAAAGAGGUCUCGCAUGUUGAGUGACGAUUUAACUGAAUUUGGCCCCCAUUAAUUUCCAUUCCAUUACAUUUCGUUUUUUUCUCUUCUAUUUUUAACCACAUAAUCUUCCAUAAAAUAAUAUUGCACGUUAACCGAAAACCUUUCCUUCUUUUUCAAUCACUCAUUUUUAAAAAAAAAAACACUAUUCUAACCAUUUUCAUUUCCACAAAAUGGGGGCUUGGAUUCUUCCGUCUUAUUGGACUGACACCAAAAAUUGAAGGUUUUGGGUUUUUUUAUUUUUAUUCUUUUAUUUUUUUAUGUACAUAUUUUACCAGUACAUUUCAAAUGAAUGGAGAAUAAGGUUAGGUUUCGAACAGUAUCUCAGAAGAUAGGGAUUGAUGAUAAGAAUUUGAUUUAAAUAAGAUUUCAGUGUUUCUUUCUAAGAUAGAAUUUUAUCAUUUUAAUAGUUGUUAUUUACGAUAAGUUCUAUACUUUAUAAAUAGGAUGUAUGAACAUUCGCUUGUAUUUGAACUAUUAUUAUUGAUGUUUGAUAAUUAAGAUUGAUAUUUAAUUACAGAUUUUCCCCUUCAAAUUGUCUGCUCGUCUCUCUGUUUAUCUUUCUGUGUUAAGUACCCAUCACUUGUGGACCUGGAACAUUUCAUUUACUUGUACUAACUUUUGAGUGAUGUCUCUGCAUUCAUUAAUUUGUACAAUUACACUGUUAUAUAUACCCAUUUUUUUUCUAUUUAAUGCAGAGAGGAUGGUACCAUAAUGUUGUUUACUUGGGAAAGGAGAACAAUAUUCCAAUUCUAACAAUGACGUAAGCAUAUAUGCCUACCAUCUCUAGCAUUAUUAUGAAAGAUUCGAGUAGUAUAGUUUAUUUAUCAUAUUUUAACUGAUAUGAAUUCAGGUGCACUCUUUCGGAUAUUGAAAACUUCAAGUCUGGUAAAUUGCCUGUAAAAUCACCUGCCAAAGCGUAUGCCAAUACCUUGGUUAAAGGACUUGUAGAAGGAAAACAGCUGUCGGAAGCGGAAGCAAUAGCAUACAUAGAGGAAGCAUCUACAAAGCCACUAUAAAUUCUGUUGCUCGCUCUCAUUUAAAAUUCUUCACCGUCUUUUGUGUAACUUAGAGAUGCUCAAGCUGUAGCAUUUCUACUCCAUUGCAACACUCAAGGUGUGAUUUAGGAAAAUCUCCUGUUUGAUGCUUUCAAACUGAUUUACUGUUGCAUAAGUUAUUUUGCUGCUUUGAAGAUAGAUUGCUGUUAAGUGUUGCAUCCAAGAUCUGGUGUUUCUGGUGCAUGUGAUUAUUUACUGGAUAAGUUGCAUCACGAACGUCCAACAUAUGGUUUAUCUAGUGCAUAUGUGAUGAUUUUGGUUUAUUAAUAUCAAUAUAUUUAUACUACUGCAUAUUCAAUGAGCACG